rnacentral:rRNA from 1 species
GAUGAACGCUGGCGGCGUGCUUAACACAUGGCAACGUCGAACGAAGUGGAUGUCUUCGGACUGAAACUUAGUGGCGGACGGGUGAGUAACGCGUGGGUAACCCUGCCUCGUACAGGGGGAUAACAGUUAGAAAUGACUGCUAAAUACCGGCAUAACCCGCUAAGGUCGCAUGACCUGGACGGAAAAGAUUUAUCGGUACGAGAUGGACCCGCGUCUGAUUAGCUAGUUGGUGAGGUAACGGCCCACCAAGGCGACGAUCAGUAGCCGACCUGAGAGGGGUGAUCGGCCACAUUGGGACUGAGACACGGCCCAAACUCCUACGGGAGGCAGCAGUGGGGAAUAUUGCACAAUGGGGGAAACCCUGAUGCAGCAACGCCGCGUGAGUGAUGAAGUAUUUCGGUAUGUAAAACUCUAUCAGCAGGGAAGAAAUUGACAGUACCUGACUAAGAAGCCCCGGCUAACUACGUG